CUUGAAUACUACGGUAUUAUAAUGUUAAAGGAUUGGAAUGGAUUGGAUGAGUUUUUAUUGAGUAAAACUUUUAACUUAGACUUUUGGCAUCAAAAUUGUAUGACGCCUGCUAUUGUAAAUUUUAUAUCAGCUGCGCGAACUGCAGGGAUGCACAUCUUAUUUCAAAAAUUCUCUUAAUUGAAAUAAUCAAUAAUAACAUAAUUUACCUCAUCAGCAUUUUGUAAGAUGGGAAUCUCAGAUAGAGGGCUAAACUGUUCAACUCAUUUUUUGUUUCACAUAUAAAAUAUCCUCAUUUAUAUCUUCGUUACUUCUCAAACACAAAUUACCGAUAGCUACUCUUACAUCAUGACCCUUUUUACGAUCAAAUUAAAAGAUAAAAGCAGACAUUCUUUAUACUCCCCAGAAUAACAGCUUUGAAUGUUUUUUUAUGAACCUGCAAAAGCUGUACAAAGUCUAGCUUCUCAUUGAAAUAUUCUACAUGUUUUUGUCUCCAUAAUUUAAAUAUAAGUUCCUUUUCAGACAUUUUUUUCUAGUAAUCUCAAAUUAGAAAGAACAAAUAUCAGUGUUGAAAUAAUUUGUCCCCUUCAUGUUUUCCUAGGUCUUUGUUUUACGUAUCUUGAGUAGAGCUAAUGUAACUGUACAGCUCUGUGUUAAUGUUUUUCUUUGUUUGCUGUGUGCCGUUGUAUAUAAAAGGAUGUAUAGAUAAUUGUCCCUGGGACUCCCUAUUUAUGACGUCAUGGUGCUAUAUGAUUAGGAUAUACAGUAUAUACGAGUACCUUCUGUAGUGAUCCAGGUAGGUGUCUGUGUACUACCAGGAUUUUAAGGUCAUACUCACAGAGACUUGUAGCAAAGUGGCGACAUUAUGAUAUCCGCUACUGGUCCCUGUGGUCAUGCAUUCUGUGUAAAACCAUGAUCUGGUAAAAAUGUAUCAUUGUUAUUGAUUAUAUUUACAAUACACAUAACAUCUUUUAAUAUUAUUGUACGAUUAUCAUUUGUUUGGCGAGAUAUUAAUUAUUUUACACCUAUUACCAAAGAAUACCUCUUCACCAACAGUAAUCACUGUUUACCUUUCUACCAGUAGAAAUCAAGCAGGUGUGGUGAUGAGUAUAUGUUUAUAACAGAUCAAUACAUAACUGGUCACAAUCGGUAGUUCUACGCGAUAGUUCAACACCAUAGUUCCACACUGUACGACCUUGUACCUAGUGUCAAACGGCAGAUGCAAUGCCUUGUUUGUUACGAGUUAAAAUUUAUCGAUUUUCAUUGUCGAUUUACUUCAUAUUGAUGAAAUAUCAAAAUUAGUAAAAACUUACUACAAUUAUUCUGUCAAAACUUGUUAUACAUGUACCCAAAACUGUAAAAACAAAUGCCAAUUGCUACAGACAUGUUUAGGAAGUCUGUUUUAGAGGGAGAACUACAGGUGUUUUAUUGUCAUAACAAUGAUAGAAUAAAGUUCUAUUGUACUACAAGUAAAGAGAUGGAAACAUGUCCUAACAUUGUACUGCAUAAUACAAAACACUGUAUAAAUCAGACUCAUCAAGUUCAUUGUGUAUUGCUGUGUACUUUGAACCUUUGUAUGCCAAAAAUGUGUCAAGUGCUAUAGCAAAUAUUUGUCCUAGAUUUUUUUUUUAGUUUAGACAGGUUUUACUGUAUUUUAAGACACAGCAGCUUAGGCGUCUUCAGGACACUCGAUUUAGACAGGUUUUGCUGUACUAUAAGACACAGCAGUUUAGGUGUCUUUAGGACACUUGAUUUAGACAGGUUUUGCUGUACUAUAAGACACAGCAGUUUAGGCGUCUUCAGGACACUCGAUUUUAACAGGUUUUGCUGUACUAUAAGACACGUACAGCAGGUUAGGCGUCUUCAGGACACUUGAUUUAGACAGGUUUUGCUGUACUAUAAGACACAGCAGUUUAGGCGUCUUCAGGACACUCGAUUUAGACAGGUUUUGCUGUACUAUAAGACACAGCAGUUUAGGUGUCUUCAGGACACUUGAUUUAGACAGGUUUUGCUGUACUAUAAGACACAGCAGGUUAGGCGUCUUCAGGACACUUGAUUUAGACAGGUUUUGCUGUACUAUAAGACACAGCAGUUUAGGCGUCUUCAGGACACUUGAUUUAGACAGGUUUUGCUGUACUAUAAGACACGUACAGCAGGUUAGGCGUCUUCAGGACAUUGUAUUGCUUGUGCCAUAGCUAGUCAUGUUGUAGUCAAUGUUUACUCCACUACUCUACAUAAUUGUAUUCUCUGCUGUAUAUAUGAAAAAUGUCAUCUAUCUUACUCUGUGCUAUAUGCACCUCCUUUCUAGAAGAGUUCAGAAUAGUUACAGAAUAGGUUUCAUUUGAAGAAAUUGUUUUUAAAGGGAGAUAUAACUUUCCAUACAUGUUACAUUAAGACAGUGAUCUUAAGUUUUGGGUUCUAAGUCUUUGGUAGAGGUGUUUUUUAUCCAACUUAUUGCUGUCAAAUAACUAUUUUUGAGUUCCAAAUUACUUUCGCUGGAAAUAUGUGUGGUAAAAAAGAAAUUAAUUUUAUAUUAUGUGUAUUGUUGCAUUAUAUAUUUAGAAAACAAACUUGAAUUAUUCACAGCAAACACAAUAAAUAUACAAGGCAUUAUUUGAUAUAAUUUGAAUAUGGAACAACUAUCUUGUAUAUGAUUCCCUAUGAUCUUCUUUUUGAUCAUUUAUAAAUUAUCUAUGUUUCGCAACAAAAAGUACCAGUAUAGGAUUUUGUAGCUUUUCUCAUACUCAGUAGGGACUCUGUGUUGACAUUAUUACCACAGAGUUGAGGACUGUGAAACAAUAUUUUACAUAAGUCUGUUGCAUUGACUGUAUUAAAUUAAACAACCAAUCAUGUUGCUUGUAUAAUUUUUGUUUCUCUCAUUAUUGUAGAUUUUCCAUUAGUCAUUGAAAGUUUGGAUUUUUACAUUUUUCUUUUAAACACAAUUAACAUUAUUGGAAGUUUGGUUCUUUUAAGACACUUGUAAACUGACUGUGGAAAAUUAAUUACCGGUAACUCUUCAGAAUAUUUUCUAAUAUUAAUGUUUCCACAACAACUCAGGUAACACUUGCCAAAUUUCAUGUUUUUAAUUCGGAAUAGUUUCAUUAUAUCGUUACCUUGCCAAAUUUCAUGUUUUUAAUUCGGAAUAGUUUCAUUAUAUCUUUGCAAUACUCAUCAGAGAUGGAAUUAAAUAUUCACCAGGUAUCAUUCGAUACCAAUUCCAUACACAGGAUUUAAGAUUUUGAGACACGAUCAUCUCUCCACACUGUACACGACAGUGAUAGGGGGCAAAAAAGGUGUUUAAUUCUGAUUGGAAAAUGUCUACCUUACUGGUAUUAUGGAAAUUAAUAACCCAGUCAUAUUUGUUCUCGUAUAUUAGGUUUUAUGUUAAAUAACUGAAAUACCAACAAUUUCCUUUAAAGGAAAACAGAAAUAUGUCCUAUAAAAUCUGGAAUACUGUAGAAUAACCUAUAUAUGGUCUGUAAAAAGAAAUGGCCUGUUUAUAAAGCAUGAAGUUGUGUGCAUCAAUUAUUAGCCUGUUAAUGUCAUAAUUGUACAUGUGUAUCUGAAGUAUCACGGAGAGAUUACUUUACAGUAAUUAAUUAUUACCUCUCACCCAUCCUGUCAAAAGUAGAUUGUCCUAUUCCAUUGAUACGGUCAAGCUUACUUGUGACAUAUAGGGAUGAAAGGAGUCAUAUAUUUAUAAUAUUUUGUUAGAUAUCUAUCACUUUUGUUGUAUGAAAUAUGUUUUUUUCCACUAUAACUUACAAUGCUAAUUUUUAUCUACCCUGAGUAUUUUAUAUUUUGCUAUAUUAAAGUGCAAUUAGCUGCCUGUGUAAAAUGUUGAUUUUUAAGGGCACAGAAGUAUAAAAUGUGUUUGGUAAAACCCCAACCCACUUUGUUUACACUCUGUACUGUUUAGUGCCUUUAGCAAAUUUAUGAUAUAUUUGUAUAAGAUUACAAUAAAUCUCACACUUAAUAAACACAA